rnacentral:lncRNA from 10 species
AUUUAGAGCAACCAUCAGGAGAUCAGGAAGACUGCCUUCAAAUAUGGUCUAUAAGUUUUUGGGAACAUUUGCUUUUGUAGCAAUGCACACUGCUGUGUGAUCCACAUGGGCAUAUGGGUUGUUUUUAUUUUCAAAAUAUAGUACUCUGUGAGGACAGAACUGAAGGAAGAAAUUAUUUUCUCUAGUUAAUGCCUCAGGUUGGAGACCUUCCUUAAUCUGGCAUUGUUGCUGGCAGGACUGCCUAGAAACAUAACGUAUGACUCACAAGUACAUAUGGCAAUCAUAUUUAAAACAAGACCUGGGUAUGAAGUUCCAUUUUUACCUACUGUACCAUUUGCACUAACGAAGGUUUCACAAAAAAGACCUAUUCAGCCUGGGUGGUUCUGGCCACACCUAAGGGAGGAAUGAGACAUCUGUUAAUUGGAAGUCAUGUUAUUGGGUUACCUUAAUGAAAACAGAAAAAAGAAUCAUGGUGUUAUAUUUUUCCAAAUAUUAGAAAAAUAGAAAAAUAUCAGGUCACUGUUGCCUACUGACAUCAAUUUUUUUUUUAACCACGCUAUGUUAGAAUUAGAAGGGCUUGGGCUCAAGAUAAAGUGGGACCUGAGAAAAGCCUGGGUUCAGAGGGGAUCUCUGGGCAUCAUCAAGGCUCAGAAGCUAUAGGGGCACAUCACUGCCAGUGGAGCUGGAGCAAGGAUGUCCUGUCUGAGGGCAUGGUGGUAUGGAAAUAUCCUAGGCUAUGUUUGAACAUGCAGAGGCCAGGUAAACAUCAACAUGUUUCUGGAGAUGGAAUGAUGGGAGGAGGAAGGCACUGAUUUUCUGGGAAAGCCAUUAAUGAGAUCCAUGUGGGGCCUUGCAUACUCUAUAAAUAGUCAGUAUCCUUCCCAAGGUUACACCUCAAUGGUUGUUGCCUUUUUUCUCUGUGCUUUUAUUUUGCAACUGUCCCCCAAAUACAGGAAGGAUUACAUCUGACCCAAUGGAGACCUUCCAGCCCAACUUGAUAUCAGAGCUGGGAUUAGGAUGAGAUGAGUAAGGUGUCAUGCACAUGCAGGGUCAGAUUCUGUUUGUAUUAAAAACUUUGAUAUUUUCUUCAUCAUGGAUUUUGGGUCAUUGCUUUUUCAAAAAUAUCACAUAAAUAUUAUUUAUCUUAAUAACCUAUUUUUUUACCCAUCUUAAAUUUUGAGCCUGAGGUGAGUGCCUCUCUUGCCUCACCCUGUUCCCCUGAUUUGGCUCUUGACUUGUCCUAGGAUAUGAUUUCCACAGUAACAGACUAAACCAAUGAUCCCAUGGGUGCUCAUGGAGUUUAGGGAAUUGUACCUUCUAGUGAUAUGGAAGAAACAUUUUCUGCCCCAGGACCUAGGAGAGAUGGUAAGAAGUCAGCAAACUUCCAUGGCUUGGGUUUUUAUUAAGGAUUGGCCAUCUCUUCACAGGCACUUUUAUACAUGCAGUGUAGUUAAAAUCAGUAUAAUUUCUUUAAAAGUAGAAACCAAACUCAGUCAUGUUUUGAUUUAGUACUGAAAAUAAAUGAGAAUCCAUUGCUCCUGGACUGAAAUGAAUCCAGCCAUUUUUAUUAUCCUCUAUUUGCUUGGCAAUGAAAAAGGCUUUUUGAAACAUAAACAUGAUAAAUGGUUUGAAGUUAGUUUGAGAGUUAUGAAAUGAGUUUUACCUAAUGAAACAGAAAAAUGGCAGCAAGGAACACUUUUCUGUGGAGAAGUAAGAAACCUGUCCUACAGGGAGAGUUGCUCAGAGAGUUGCUUUUUGCUGUGCAGCUUAUGUUUAAUCCCCACUGUGGUCAAUAGUCAUCAGGCUUUUGAAGGGGUUGGACCGGGCCUUGGGACAAGUAUUAACACAGUCAAGAUUGUUUUUUCUCUAAUGACUAUCUUCUCCCUUUUACAUGUUUUCUUUCCCUUUAGAACCCUGUCCUGAUGACCUUAUAUAUUCUUGCAAGCAACCUGUAAUGUGCUCCAGUUGCUUUCCUUUUUUGUCUCCUCACCCCAUCAGUCAGGACCGGCUGUAGGAGUUUAGGAGGACAUAUGUGUCUCAAAGUAUUCCAAGGACUCUAGCACUGUGUGGAAAAUAGAUCCUGCAGCUGGGCUUCCUGCAGCUCAAGAAAGAGAUUUCAUGCCAAAGUA